GAUGAACGCUAGCGGCGUGCCUAAUACAUGCAAGUCGAGCGAAGCGGGGACGGGUGAGUAACACGUGGAUAACCUCCUAUACGACUGGGAUAACUUCGGGGAACCGGAGCUUAACCCGAUCCUUAUUGAUGGAUCCGCGCUUCAUUAGCUAGUUGGUAAGGUAACGGCUUACCAAGGCAACGGUGCAUAGCCGACCUGAGGUGGUGAUCGGCCACACGGCAACUUAGCCACGGUCCAUACUCCUACGGGAGGCAGCAGUAGGGAAUCUUCCGCAAUUGGCGGAAGCCUGACGGAGCGACGCCGCUUAUGUGGGGAAGGGCUUCGGAUUGUAAAACUCUUUUAUUAUGGAAGCGGUACCUAAUCAGAAAGCCACGGCUAACUACGUGCCAGCAGCCGCGGUAAUAC
rnacentral:rRNA from 1 species